rnacentral:rRNA from 1 species
GUCGUAACAAGGUUUCCGUAGGUGAACCUGCGGAAGGAUCAUUAACAAAUCGUAGUUGUAGAAGGUGUGGCAACACGCUCUUCUACACAUACACCCGCUCCAGUGCAGUAAUGCCUGGUCGGUGCUCUGUUCAUCCUCUCGGGGAUGUGACGGAGCGACCGCAAACGCAAGUGCGCGGUCACAUAGACGCUUUUUUGUUUGACAGAGUUUAUUGUAUGCAAAUAUAUAUACAACUUUUAACAAUGGAUCUCUUGGCUCUUGCAACGAUGAAGAACGCAGUGAGAUGCGAAAAGUAAUGCGAUUUGCAUGAAUCUGUGAGUCAUCAAGUCUUUGAACGCACCUUGCACCUUAUGAGCAAUCGUAAGGUAUACCUGUUUGAGAAUCGUAAAAAACCAUCUCUCCCUUUGGGGAGGGGAUUUGCUGGAAUUGAACCUCCGGUUAAAAGUAUUAGGUUUGGAUCAGGCUAGUGGCCUGGGACAUUGUGUGCUAGAGACGAGAGUCUUCUCACAGUGCGUCCUGGGUCAUCAAAGCUAGCCUGUGGUAGAGCCUUUAACAGCGCAGUGGGGGCUGAUGUCGGGGGUCAAAUCUCGAUUUCAGUCUUCCUCUGGCUACUUUUCUCUUUGAUCUCAAAUCAGGUAAGGCUACCCGCUGAACUUAA